rnacentral:rRNA from 1 species
UUUAUGGAGAGUUUGAUCCUGGCUCAGGAUGAACGCUGGCGGCGUGCCUAAUACAUGCAAGUCGAGCGAACAGAUAAGGAGCUUGCUCCUUUGAYGUUAGCGGCGGACGGGUGAGUAACACGUGGGUAACCUACCUAUAAGACUGGAAUAACUCCGGGAAACCGGGGCUAAUGCCGGAUAACAUUUAGAACCGCAUGGUUCUAAAGUGAAAGAUGGUUUUGCUAUCACUUAUAGAUGGACCCGCGCCGUAUUAGCUAGUUGGUAAGGUAAUGGCUUACCAAGGCAACGAUACGUAGCCGACCUGAGAGGGUGAUCGGCCACACUGGAACUGAGACACGGUCCAGACUCCUACGGGAGGCAGCAGUAGGGAAUCUUCCGCAAUGGGCGAAAGCCUGACGGAGCAACGCCGCGUGAGUGAUGAAGGGUUUCGGCUCGUAAAACUCUGUUAUUAGGGAAGAACAAACGUGUAAGUAACUGUGCACGUCUUGACGGUA